UUGUCGGUCGUAAAGAUCGACUCAGCUGAAAUACACGAGCGAGACCCCAUUUCAAAUGGCAGCGGCUUGACUCGGCGUAAUAAUAUUAUCGCUGAGGACGUUGCACAUAUGUUUGGAUAGUGGCAGCUUCUAAUGCGAUUCAGUUUGAGUCAACUUAAGCUUUAGACCUCAAAUCAGUCAGGACUACCCGCUGAACUUAA
rnacentral:misc_RNA from 1 species